rnacentral:rRNA from 1 species
AUGAUGGACCGCGAGAUCGUCGGCCGCCACGCGCGCGGCAUGCUGCUCGCGGGCUACGCCUACGGCCUCCACGACCCCGUCUGCAACAUCCUCGCCAACUGUCUCUGGCACGAUACAGUCUUCCCCGCUUCCUCCAGCCAGGAGGUUCUUCAGCCCAUGAUGCUGAGCUGCAAGGCCAUAUUCCGCCUGGCUCGCCGCUCCCUCGACGCCCUCGUCGCCUUCAUGAGGGCGUACGCGCCCACCCUGUCUGCUGAAGAGGCCGUGUCCUACAACUGCAGAAGCCAUGACAACCUUCACCAUGCCGCCGUGCUUGUUGACAGAGAAGGUGUUUCCCACGCAAACCGCAUGGACGACGCCUUCAGGGCUGCCAUUCUGGCAGCGCAUCUCCCUAGUGACGCAGCUCGCGAGGCUCAAUUUUUUUUCAUUGCCAACUGUGCUCCUACUGACGCUUUUCUUGCAAAGCAUGGAAUUCAUGGUCACCCAUUAGCUUUUGGAUUAACUGACCUGAGGCCGCAAAGCAAUUCAUCGCUUAUAGUGCUUGAAUUCGUCAAGCUGGUUGUUUCCAGUUUAGCUCUCACACAGCCGCCACCAAGCUCGUCGAGCCUAAGCCAAGGAGCAUAUAGAGCGUUAAGGAUCAAGAUGCAUGCCUUCAAGAGGGAUCAGGAGUUUUGCCUUGGUAUAGUAAACAUGGCGCUCAAGAAACUCGCGUUCCAGUUUGGGGAACUUUAUCAGAUUCAUCUACUAUGCGGCAAAAGUUUGGUUACUUUGGUUCCUGAUAGCUAUUAUCAUGUCAACUUCUUGGCAUCACGCGAGAGCGAGCCUAAUCAGCCUAAGCUGUUUUUUGCUGAGGUUCGUGCUUCACUUCAAGAUGUGGAUGAUGUGACCUUGUGCUGUCCUGUGACAUUAUCAGGAAGAGCUGGUGGAUGCUCUGCUUGUGAGUAUAUGGGAAUGAAACUCAUCCAUCCUGUAGAUGAGAAGUUCAAUGGACAAUGUGACUUCACUAAGGGUAAAGACCCACACAUUGUUGAACUUUUCAGGAAAGACCCUACCUCAGAGUUUGAUGUUCCACUGAUUGAUAAUUACAUUUUCUUUGAGCUUGAUCACCACCCUGAGGUUACAACCUUCCUGGAGACCUCUUACUCCUAUAUGAGUGAUGAUCAAGUGGACCUGAGUCUUUUGUGGUUUGAAAAUUACAUGCCUUGA